GGGGGAUGUAGCUCAGUGGUAGAG
rnacentral:piRNA from 5 species